UACAGAGGUCUCGAGCGUUAGUCGGAUUCAUUGGGCUUAAAGCGUGCGUAGGCGGAUGUGCAGGCGUCGUGUGAAAGCCCUCGGCUCAACCGGGGAAUUGCACGGCGAACCGCAUGUCUUGAGACAAGUAGGGGCGGCCGGAACGAUAGGUGGAGUGGUGAAAUGCGUUGAUAUCUAUCGGAACGCCAAAGGUGAAGACAGGCCGCUGGGCUUGUUCUGACGCUGAGGCACGAAAGCGUGGGGAGCAAACGGG
rnacentral:rRNA from 1 species